UUCACAGUUCAGCACAAAGACAGCUAAUACUACAAAGGAGAGGAUAAGGACCCAGAAACAUUUAUUCAACAAAUACACAUUGAGGGUCUAUUCCAGUUUUCCCAUCAGGACAAAGAUUUCUGAAAAGACAGAGGCGAGUUCCUUUAGACAUCACCGAAAGCAAACGACGCUCGAGGGACAGUCGCAAAUGAACCAAGGGAAGCUGCAGCCAAACGGAACGCGACAAACAACUGUCAUCUUCCAAAUGGCCAAUCAGAAGCUGGGACAACUUGAAUGUAACAGAAGUCUAUUAUGAUGAAAAUAAUGAUCUCGGGACAAGGGAUACUUAAUGAUUUGGAAAUUUAAGUACAAAAUAAAUAUUCAUCCAUGUCCAACGAGUAUCUCACUGUUUGGGCAGAAUGGUUCUCUUACUGGAAUUGUUCACAAAGCAACCUAUUAUGUGGCGAGAGGUACCCUCCGGGCACCAUUGAAAUUAAUAUGAAAGGAACAAUCAAGAAUGCCAAGUGCAGUGCAUAAAACGCAGUUAUAGAAAGAAGAUCCAUGACUCACAGAGACCGUAAAUGAAAUACGGCGUAGGUUAAUCGCAUAAACGAUUCUUCACAGUGACUCACGGCAGCAACACAGUUCUAUAAAUGCACUAGUGUAGCCUUACAGUAAUUGCUGAACUCCUCUAAUGGAAGGAGAAAUACUCACGGAAACCCUCUGACUAGGAAAGGCGCAGAGCAAGCUAAUCCACAGAGCAUCGGCGUGUUCUAGGCGCUUGGACAAAGAUUCUCUCAUUCUGUCUUUCCAAUGCUCCUGUGUGGUUAUGUCGCCAGCAAAGCCCAUUAACAAUUCCUAGAAAAUAAAACUAGAAUCUGGGUAAUAAAAU
ensembl:lncRNA